ensembl:lncRNA
CCCGAACCGCACACCAAGCGGAUGCCCACGCCCUGCGGGAGGAUGUACCCUAUUGUCCCCUACGCCGCUCAGAGUCGGAAACAAAGGCUGCCGAGUGCCAGUCCUGUGGACUCUAGAGAACAAGGGCCGUACACCUUUCCACGUCCCAAAAGCCUGCUGUCACCCCUCCCAGCCUUAGGUAGUUUUCUAGGGUUUGGGGACUGUCAAAUGAGUCCUUGUGAGGCUAAGGGUGCAGGGUGCCCUCUUCUGUCUGCUGAUCAAGAAGCUCUCUGCCAAGAGUAAUGUCCAAAAGAAGGGGCACCAGGAAGAGAUGUGGACAGGAUGACGGUGGCAGAAGACAGUGAAAACCUCAACUGCAUAACAGAUGACACGCAUUGACUUCGCUGCCACUGCCAUCUCAUCUUCCAGUGGCCCUUCCUGUGUGCAGGACGUAUCUUCUCUCUCCUUCAGAGCACUCCUUUUCUGCUUCUUUUCUGCUUUCUUUUUACCCUAAAAUAAAUGUUAAAUUUCCAUGCUCAUCCAUUGUUCUGUCCAAUUUACUGAACAGUAUAAAAAGAGCUUGGCAAUUACAGCUGGUCACUACACCACCUGGUAACACUUGCAUGAGGAGGAUCAGUAUCUCUUUGUUCUGCCUUAAUACUUCUUUCCGAGCUGAAAUUCCAUAUUUUCUGUGGCACAUCAAAAAAUACUGAGAAAAAUGUGUAUUCUUAUUUGUGCCCAAACUGCUUUCUUCUAAAACAGUGAUGGCGAACCUUUUAGAGCUUUCAAUGAUACCAACAGCCCACUGUGCCCCACAUGCCAUAGGUUCACCACUGCUAAUCUAGAAGCUGCACCUUGAACCUAGCCUCUUCUGAGCCUUGUGGCUCUGCACAUUUUGGCAAUCGCCUGUCAUGCUCACUGUUGCUCUUCAUGCCCCCACCACUGAGGAUAAGACUACAUUUAGAAUGAAAAACAAAGCCUCACAGGUUUCUAACCCCCUGGGGAAGGCGAUCAGACAAAAUUAGGACUUCAGUGAAGUGCCCACAGAGCAGCACAGUUCCCUUGGAAUUCUUGAGUUGUUCAAAAUGAGCCAUGAAAGCCAGAAGUAUUUGAAUGUUGGGAUGUAGGGUACAGGGAAAGGGGAUGUUACUAGAACCUCUGCAGUAAGUCCUAGGCUCCAUGGCAGCACAAGG